CUACGGGAGGCAGCAGUAGGGAAUAUUGGGCAAUGGGCGAAAGCCUGACCCAGCAACGCCGCGUGUGUGAUGAAGGCCUUCGGGUCGUAAAACACUUUUCUGGGAGAUGAGAAAGGACAGUAUCCCAGGAAUAAGCCUCGGCUAACUACGUGCCAGCAGCCGCGGUAAAACGUAGGAGGCGAGCGUUAUCCGGAUUCACUGGGCGUAAAGCGUGUGCAGGCGGUUCGGCAAGUUGGAUGUGAAAUCUCCCGGCUCAACUGGGAGGGGUCGUUCAAAACUACCGGACUUGAGGGCAUCAGAGGAAGGUGGAAUUCCCGGUGUAGUGGUGAAAUGCGUAGAUAUCGGGAGGAACACCAGUGGCGAAGGCGGCCUUCUGGGAUGUUCCUGACGCUCAGACACGAAAGCUAGGGUAGCGAACGGGAUUAGAUACCCCGGUAGC
rnacentral:rRNA from 1 species